GAAGGCUUUCGGGUCGUAAAACUCUUGUUGUUAGGGAAGAACAAGUGCUAGUUGAAUAAGCUUGGCACCUUGACGGUACCUAACCAGAAAGCCACGGCUAACUACGUGCCAGCAGCCGCGGUAAUACGUAGGUGGCAAGCGUUAUCCGGAAUUAUUGGGCGUAAAGCGCGCGCAGGUGGUUUCUUAAGUCUGAUGUGAAAGCCCACGGCUCAACCGUGGAGGGUCAUUGGAAACUGGGAGACUUGAGUGCAGAAGAGGAAAGUGGAAUUCCAUGUGUAGCGGUGAAAUGCGUAGAGAUAUGGAGGAACACCAGUGGCGAAGGCGACUUUCUGGUCUGUAACCGACACUGAGGCGCGAAAGCGUGGGGAGCAAACAGGAUUAGAUACCCCGGUAGU
rnacentral:rRNA from 1 species